UAAGUGAGCCACUGGAGGCUGGGCAGCUAAGUGAGCCACUGGAGGCUGGGCAGCUAAGUGAGCCACUGGAGGCUGGGCAGCUAAGUGAGCCACUGGAGGCUGGGCAGCUAAGUGAGCCACUGGAGGCUGGGCAGCCGUGGCGGAGCGAGGCUGGGACGAGGAGGUGGGAAGUUUGUGUAGCUCCGAACGUGGAAGUCCCAAAAACAAAGCAAAGGAUUGUAGCGGAGUAAGCCCAGUGUCCUCCACCACAUAAUCCUUCCUUCGCCGCUGCUUGCUCCUCCUGCAGGGCCUGGCUUCUGAAAGCAGCGGUGGAGUGACACCAGGAAACUGAGCAGAGAGCGGCUGCUGAGCAGGCGAUGAGCUGUUCUCAAAAUCAUCUGCCGCACAGAAGACAGCCCCAGAAUGAACAGUCACAUAGUCCGAAAAAGAGCCCUCACUCUCCACAACCGGCGAAUUAAAAGUCCGGAUGUCCGGCUGUGGGGUGGCGCGCCGGCGGCGCGAUCGACAUUUCCUCCCCGCCGACGGCUCCGACGGGCCAGGCAAGAUCACAUUCGGCGAGUCGGGCGGCGAGGCAGGAGUGGCAGAGAGCAGGUGAGGUGUGCGCUGAAGGAAGGCCUGAAUGGUCGGAGAGAGCGAGCCAAACAGCCACGGAAGACCAGAGAAGAGCCGCUGUAGGCGAGUUUCCACAGCGCGACGAAGCUCCUCCGGGGGAUGUUCCAACCACAGGCUGAGAAGGUUCUCAACGGAGAAAAUGAUGUCAUCCUUCAGCUCCUCCGAAGGGUCGCAAGCUGCUGGGUCCAUGUUGGCUGUUUCGUGCUGUCACGGUUUGCAGGUGCAAGCCGUGUGGGAGUUAAUUAGGACCGGGCAGCAGCAGCUCAAGUGCAAGUAAGAAUUUAUUAACAGAAAGGCAAAUAAACAGGAAUGGCAAGUGACACUAACCGGUAACCUAAACUGGGGAAAACUAACAAAGCAAACCAGAAACGAAGAUGCAGGAGGAUAACGAGGGAAUGAGACACAAAAGGAGGGCACAGCUGGGAGUAAUCCGACCUGAC
ensembl:lncRNA